UACGUAGGGUGCAAGCGUUUGUCCGGAAUUAUUGGGCGUAAAGAGCUCGUAGGCGGUUCGUCGCGUCGGCUGUGAAAUCCCGAGGCUCAACCUCGGGUCUGCAGUCGAUACGGGCGGACUGGAGUACUGCAGGGGAGACUGGAAUUCCUGGUGUAGCGGUGAAAUGCGCAGAUAUCAGGAGGAACACCGAUGGCGAAGGCAGGUCUCUGGGCCGAUACUGACGCUGAGGAGCGAAAGCGUGGGGAGCGAACAGG
rnacentral:rRNA from 1 species